GAUGAACGCUGGCGGCGUGCCUAAUACAUGCAAGUCGAGCGAAUGGAUUAAGGGCUUGCUCUUAUGAAGUUAGCGGCGGACGGGUGAGUAACACGUGGGUAACCUGCCCAUAAGACUGGGAUAACUCCGGGAAACCGGGGCUAAUACCGGAUAACAUUUUGAACCGGAUGGUUCGAAAUUGAAAGGCGGCUUCGGCUGCAACGUAUGGAUGGACCCGCGUCGCAUUAGCUAGUUGGUGAGGUAACGGCCCACCAAGGCAACGAUGCGUAGCCGACCUGAGAGGGUGAUCAGCCACACUGGGACUGAGACACGGCCCAGACUCCUACGGGAGGCAGCAGUAGGGAAUCUUCCGCAAUGGACGAAAGUCUGGCGGAGCAACGCCGCGUGAGUGAUGAAGGCUUUCGGGUCGUAAAACUCUGUUGUUAGGGAAGAACAAGUGCUAGUUGAAUAAGCUGACACCUUGACGGUACCUAACCAGAAAGCCACGGCUAACUACGUGCCAGCCGCCGCCGUAA
rnacentral:rRNA from 1 species